rnacentral:rRNA from 1 species
GAUGAACGCUGGCGGCGUGCCUAAUACAUGCAAGUCGAGCGAACGGACGAGAAGCUUGCUUUUCUGAUGUUAGCGGCGGACGGGUGAGUAACACGUGGACAACCUACCUAUAAGACUGGGAUAACUUCGGGAAACCGGAGCUAAUACCGGAUAAUAUUUUGAACCGCAUGGUUCAAAAGUGAAAGACGGUCUUGCUGUCACUUAUAGAUGGAUCCGCGCUGCAUUAGCUAGUUGGUAAGGUAACGGCUUACCAAGGCAACGAUGUAUAGCCGACCUGAGAGGGUGAUCGGCCACACUGGAACUGAGACACGGUCCAGACUCCUACGGGAGGCAGCAGUAGGGAAUCUUCCGCAAUGGGCGAAAGCCUGACGGAGCCACGCCGCGUGAGUGAUGAAGGUCUUCGGAUCGUAAAACUCUGUUAUUAGGGAAGAACAUAUGUGUAAGUAACUGUGCACAUCUUGACGGUACCUAAUCAGAAAGCCACGGCUAACUACGUG